rnacentral:lncRNA from 11 species
CAGCUACCGGCAGGUCUGCAUGCUUUAAGGAGGCUUCUUACCUGUUUCUGCUCUAGAGGAGAGGUGCUCAGCUGCAGGCAGGCAUGUGUACUUUAAGGAGGCUUCUUAAGUGUUUCUAUUCUAGAGGAGAGGUGCUCAGCUGCAGACAGGCAUGUGCGCUUUAAGAAGGCUUCUUGUUCUUAAAGCUCUUUCUAGGUGCUGCAGGCAGCUGUGCCCACACUUUCUCUCCCAGGCCUGCACCACACACUCUUUCCAAGGCAUUUUAAGGAGGCUUUCCACUUCCAGAAGCAGAUUGAAGAGACCAUACCUCAAAAGGAGCACUCUUCAGUUCGGUCUGAGGCACAAGCAGCAAAGUUAGACACAAACUUAAAGAACUAUUUGCCUGCACAGAACCAGAGGAGUGGAAGGACAGCAUGGACUGAGCAUUAGAACAUCCAGCCAGCCAGAUACUGAGUAGGGACCAUCACUCAUUGAACCUUUUCAUUAGCCACCCCAAGACUGGGAAUGCUGGAAGAGCUUCAACAAUUUAAAUCGUCUGUCAAAAUUCAAGGCACCUGUCUCUUCUGGCAAGUCUACUCAGUCAGUUUUAAUUUGUGAAUUUGAAUCUGAAUUUUAUUUGUGUGGUCUUUUGUGUAUUAUGUUAUAUGUAUUUUAAUAGGAUUGGGUUUUAUUGCUCUGUUUGAAUUCUGUUGUACCUUGCCUUGAGCCGAAAGGAGAGGCAGGCAGGCCGGCCCAUACCCAAAAAAAAAAAAAAUUGGGAGGGGUUGAAACUGUUUUUCCAAGAUGGCUUUCAGGUCAGUGUCUCCUGGAGAUCUCAACAUUAGUAUCAUUGUACAAAGGUUCUUCACAGGUAAUAGAUCCUGAAUCAUUGCUUCCUCUUUAAGUCAGUUCUUGUAGUUUAGUUUCCACAACUGGCAGAAGUUUCUUUCUGUUUUCUUCUGCUUUCUUCUUAUUUCCUUUAUUAUGAUGAUGGGUUACCUCAAAACGUUUCCCACUGUGAAUUAACAAGAAGUUUUCAGCCAAGCACACGCUGUUCUGAUGGUACUCUGUUUUUUGGUGUCUAUUGAAGACUUGUACUGCAUCUUUUCAUCACACAAAUUGUUUAGCAACCAAUGCACCAAGUUUCUGAUGAACACUUUUACCCCCAACUUCUCCUCCAAACACCACACCGUACUUACAGAGUGCACCUUGUACAUGACAUGAGUAGGCUAACCAGGGAAAUCUUGGAAGAAAAAUACAUGGGGCUACUGUUACUAAGCUUAACACUACUCACAAAGAAUAUGUGUAUCCCUCAUUUUGUUUAAAGACUGACCCAACCCAGCCUGGCUUGAUAAAAACUUACUCUAUUGGGUCUACUCUCAUUUUCCUUGGGUUCGAGCCUAGCUUUAACUGUUUGACAUUGCCAUGUUCUGUUUAAGGAGCGGGAAACUUUGGUCCUGUCUGCAGUUUAAUUAGAGCUCAACGAAUUUGCACUUCCUGAAUUGAUAGGCAAAGUAGAAUGCAGUAAUGUUUUAAUGGCCACACUUAUCGGAAUGUUACGAGGAAAUUCACUGAAGAAAGGAUAUGUACAAACAUGUAUAUUAGGGGAAAGUACUUUUUAAAAAUGUGUAUUUGUUGUGGGGUGGGCGUGGAACACAUAUAUUAUAGCAGUGCGUAAGGAAAAAUAUCUUGCUGUUAAUAUGUGUUUCGGACAAAAAUAUGUAUAUUAGACAGUAAGUGCAAAAAGAUUUUACUCAAGCAUUAGUAAAACCACAAACUCAUGACCAAAUGGAAUGGAAUGGACCAAAGAAUGGGAAAAUGAUAAACAGGGAGAAACUAAUACUGAC